GACAUACAAGUAGUAGGAAGGAAACUGACCGACCCUUCGGGAGCUUGAACAGGUGCUGCAUGGCUGUCGUCAGCUCGUGUCGUGGGAUGUUCGGUUAAGUCCGCUAACGAGCGCAACCCUCGCUGUGUGUUACAAGUGUCACACGGAACUGCCGGUCAUAAACCGGAGGAAGGUGGGGAUGACGUCAAGUCAGCAUGGCCUUUAUAUCCUGGGCUACACACACGCUACAAUGGGAAAGGGACAAUAGGUUGCGAAGCCGCGAGGCGGAGCCAAUCCAGCAAAACUUCCCUCAGUUCAGAUUGCAGGCUGCAACUCGCCUGCAUGAAGUUGGAGUUGCUAGUAAACGCAGGUCAGCCAUACUGCGUUGAAUACGUUCCCGGGGCUU
rnacentral:rRNA from 1 species